GGUCUCUAUGUGUCUCUAUGUGUCUCUAUGGGUCUCUAUGUGUCUCUAUGGGUCUGUAUGGGUCUCUAUGUGUCUCUAUGGUCUCUAUGUGUCUCUAUGUGUCUCUAUGUGUCUCUAUGUGUCUCUAUGUCCCCCAGCACAGCACGUUCCAGAGCAGCAGCCAGCAGGGGUAUGUGCCCAUAGCCAGCAGGGGGCACAGGAAGGCUCCAUGUGUCUCUAUGUGUCUCUAUGUGUCUCUAUGUGUCUCUAUGGUCUCUAUGGUCUCUAUGGUCUCUAUGUGUCUCUAUGUGUCUCUAUGUCUCUAUGUCCUCCCCAUUGCCCUGUUCGUAACAUGAUCCAUCCUACAUAACAUCAGAUCCACACAUCACAAUAUCCUUCUCCUCCCUAACAACCUUCCAAUCACAAUACUAACACUAACCAUCACCAACAACAUCUUCCUCCUGUUCCUUGGCCCUACAACCUGUACUUUACAGUCGAUGUAGGACUUACCCUAAGCCUAAUACUAGUCACCAUCAGACUCAACCACCCCAACAACCCUUCCUUCAUCUCUCACCCCAUGCCUUCUUCAUGCUGUUCCUAUGUUCAGGAUCAACCAUCCACAACAUAGAUGGAGAACAACAGUCGGCUUCCCAAAAACACACCCAACAACCACCUCCUGCUUCACUAUGGGAACCUCACACUAAUAGGAACCCUGUUCCCUGUAGGAUACCCCUCAAUAGACCUCAUCAUUGAAAACCUAAAUACCUCCUACUAAACACCUGAGCACUUGUAACCUCCUGGCUACCACCUGCACCACCACAUACAGCUUAAGAACAACCCUUCUAGUACACACAGAAUUCACCUGUACACCAACAGUCACCCCAGUAAAUGGAAACGACCCUCAAACAACAACCCAAUCACCCUUGGAAGCAUCACAGCCGGAUUACUCAUUAUAUCCUACCUAACCCCUGUACAACCCCCCCAGUAACAACACCCUCCUAGCAACAACCGCAGCCAUCCUAGUAACAACACUAGGCUUCAUCAUCGCCCUAGAACAUACAACUUCAAUGCAUCCAUGGACACCAAUGACACCUAUGGACCCCCAAUGGCAUCCACAGACCCCAAUGGCACCCAUGGACCCCCAAUGGAACCCCAUGGACCCCAAUGGAACCCAUGGACUCCAAUGGCACCCAUGGACACCAAU
rnacentral:lncRNA from 14 species